rnacentral:rRNA from 1 species
UGGGGAAUAUUGCACAAUGGGCGCAAGCCUGAUGCAGCCAUGCCGCGUGUGUGAAGAAGGCCUUCGGGUUGUAAAGCACUUUCAGCGAGGAGGAAGGGUAGUGUGUUAAUAGCACAUUGCAUUGACGUUACUCGCAGAAGAAGCACCGGCUAACUCCGUGCCAGCAGCCGCGGUAAUACGGAGGGUGCAAGCGUUAAUCGGAAUUACUGGGCGUAAAGCGCACGCAGGCGGUUUGUUAAGUCAGAUGUGGAAUCCCCGCGCUUAACGUGGGAACUGCAUUUGAAACUGGCAAGCUAGAGUCUUGUAGAGGGGGGUAGAAUUCCAGGUGUAGCGGUGAAAUGCGUAGAGAUCUGGAGGAAUACCGGUGGCGAAGGCGGCCCCCUGGACAAAGACUGACGCUCAGGUGCGAAAGCGUGGGGAGCAAACA